GUAGUCUGUCGAUGUCUGCUUCGCAACGCAGUCGGCAUCGGUCGUCGACGCCGCGCACCACCCGCUGUGCGUUGAGCAAUCGGUUGGGUAGCAGAGCAAUGUGUGAGCGUAUCUCCUUUGCUCCAUUUUUCUACGCACACAAGGCGAGUAUAGUGACGACCCAAUGAGCAUUCAAACACUUUGCGUUUGGUUGCUAAAUGCCAACAGGUUGUUGGAUAAAACCAGAAAGUUAUCAUCUACUGUACUUUACGGACAGGUGGUCCAUUAACAGGAGGACAAAUUGAACAAGUUUGAAGUUGUUAUAAAAUAUCGAAACAUUCGGCAAUUAAUCUUUCCGGGAAUUUUAUUUACAUACAUAUAUCCAUGUAAUAUACAUGUAAGCAAUACUAAUUACUUUCAAAAUAAGAAUUAAAUAAAAAUU